AUUGAACGCUAGCGGCAGGCUUAACACAUGCAAGUCGAGCGAGCGGCGGACGGGUGAGUAAUGUAUGGGGACUGCCCGAUAGCGGGGGAUAACUACUGGAAACGGUGGCUAAUACCGCAUACUAUCGGAUAACCCAUAUGGGAUUAGCUAGUAGGUGGGGUAAAGGCUCACCUAGGCGACGAUCCCUAGCUGGUGUGAGAGGAUGAUCAGCCACACUGGGACUGAGACACGGCCCAGACUCCUACGGAGUCAGCAGUGGGGAAUAUUGCACAAUGGGGGCAAGCCUGAUGCAGCCAUGCCGCGUGUAUGAAGAAGGCCUUAGGGUUGUAAAGUGCUUUCGGUAGCGAGGCGUUAACUGCAGAAUAAGCACCGGCUAACUCCGUGCCAGCAGCCGCGGUAAUUC
rnacentral:rRNA from 1 species